rnacentral:rRNA from 1 species
UUAUUGGAAAUGUGAUUUUUUAGCUAGGAUUAUUAUGAGUUAUGUUCUUUAAAGUUAAAUAAUUUGGCGGUAUUUUAGUCUAUUCAGAGGAACCUGUUUCUUAAUUGAUAGUCCACGAUAAAAAUUACCUAAGCUUUAAAUUUAUAUAUCGUCGUUUAUAAAAAUUUCAGGAGAAAUAGAAUUUUUGAGGUUUUGAAUUUGAGAUUAAUUCAGAUCAAGGUGUAGUUGAUGCUUAGGAUGGGAUGGGUUACAUUAUAAUUAUAUGUGGUUUUUGUUUUUAAAAUUCAAAAUAAAAUGGAUUUGAUAGUAAUUUCUUUAUUUAUGAGAAUUGAUUUAGCUCUAAAAUAUG